rnacentral:rRNA from 1 species
CGUGUGGUUCUAUUUUGUUGGUUUCUAGGACCGCCGUAAUGAUUAAUAGGGACAGUCGGGGGCAUCAGUAUUCAAUUGUCAGAGGUGAAAUUCUUGGAUCUAUUGAAGACUAACUACUGCGAAAGCAUUUGCCAAGGAUGUUUUCAUUGAUAAGGAACGAAAGUUAGGGGAUCGAAGACGAUCAGAUACCGUCGUAGUCUUAACUAUAAACUAUGCCGACUAGGGAUCGGACGAUGUUGUUUAUUGACUCGUUCGGCACCUUCCGAGAAAUCAAAGUGCUUGGGCUCCAGGGGGAGUAUGGUCGCAAGGCUGAAACUUAAAGAAAUUGACGGAAGGGCACCACCAGGGGUGGAACCUGCGGCUUAAUUUGACUCAACACGGGGAAACUCA